GAUGAACGCUGACAGAAAGCUUAACACAUGCAAGUCUACUUGAAUUUGGUCUUAGAUUUAGAUUUGGGUGGCGGACGGGUGAGUAACGCGUAAAGAACUUGCCUCACAGUUAGGGACAACAUUUUGGAAACGAACGCUAAUACCUGAUAUUAUGAUUAUACGGCAUCGUAUAAUUAUGAAAGCUAUAUGCGCUGUGAGAGAGCUUUGCGUCCCAUUAGCUAGUUGGAGAGGUAACGGCUCACCAAGGCGAUGAUGGGUAGCCGGCCUGAGAGGGUGAACGGCCACAAGGGGACUGAGACACGGCCCUUACUCCUACGGGAGGCAGCAGUGGGGAAUAUUGGACAAUGGACCAAAAGUCUGAUCCAGCAAUUCUGUGUGCACGAUGACGUUUUUCGGAAUGUAAAGUGCUUUCAGUUGGGAAGAAAAAAAUGACGGUACCAACAGAAGAAGUGACGGCUAAAUACGUGCCAGCAGCCGCGGUAAUACGUAUGUCACAAGCGUUAUCCGGAUUUAUUGGGCGUAAAGCGCGUCUAGGUGGUUAUGUAAGUCUGAUGUGAAAAUGCAGGGCUCAACUCUGUAUUGCGUUGGAAACUGUGUAACUAGAGUACUGGAGAGGUAAGCGGAACUACAAGUGUAGAGGUGAAAUUCGUAGAUAUUUGUAGGAAUGCCGAUGGGGAAGCCAGCUUACUGGACAGAUACUGACGCUAAAGCGCGAAAGCGUGGGUAGCAAACAGG
rnacentral:rRNA from 1 species